rnacentral:hammerhead_ribozyme from 1 species
CCAGAUGACGAGUCCCAAAUAGGACGAAAUGAGCAUCCUGG